rnacentral:rRNA from 1 species
CAGUUUCGAAUCAUUCACAAUGGGCGAAAGCCUGAUGGUGCGACGCCGCGUGAGGGAUGAAGGUCUUCGGAUUGUAAACCUCUGUCACUGGGGAAGAAACGCUGAAUCCUAAUACGAUUCAGCCUGACUUAACCCGGAGAGGAAGCAGUGGCUAACUCUGUGCCAGCAGCCGCGGUAAUACAGAGACUGCAAGCGUUAUUCGGAUUCACUGGGCGUAAAGGGUGCGCAGGUGGCCAAGUGUGUCAGGUGUGAAAUCCCGGGGCUUAACUCCGGAACUGCGCCUGAAACUGCUUGGCUAGAGCAUUGGAGAGGGAAGUGGAAUUCACGGUGUAGCAGUGAAAUGCGUAGAUAUCGUGAGGAACACCAGAGGCGAAGGCGACUUCCUGGACAAUUGCUGACACUCAGGCACGAAAGCGUGGGUAGCCAAAGGGAUUAGA